rnacentral:rRNA from 1 species
CAAUAGCGUAUAUUUAAGUUGUUGCAGUUAAAAAGCUCGUAGUUGGAUUUUGGGUCGGGGGCACCGGUCCGCCGUUCCGGUGUGCACUGGUGGCCCCUUCCUUUCUGCCGGGGACGUGCGUCGCACUUAAUUGGGUGGCGUUCGGAGUCGGCGUUGUUACUUUGAAAAAAUUAGAGUGUUCAAAGCAAGCCAUCGCUCUGAAUACAUUAGCAUGGAAUAACAUGAUAGGACUCCGGUCUUAUUUUGUUGGUUUCCGAGACUGGAGUAAUGAUUAAGAGGGACAGUCGGGGGCAUCCGUAUUUCAUUGUCAGAGGUGAAAUUCUUGGAUUUAUGAAAGACGAACUUCUGCGAAAGCAUUUGCCAAGGAUGGUUUCAUUAA